UGAAGAAGUAAAUUACUUCCUUCCUCGGAUGUUGAUCUCGAGUUAGUGCAGAAUUCCUCAUUUCAGGGAAGAAUUAAGUUGUUCUUCUAUUAGUCAACCACAUGCUUGGAUGUAAAUUACCUUGAAAAAACGAACUUCAACAUCAGUAAUCAGGAAAGGGUUUCCAUUGGGACUGAAGUAGUCUGUCAUUCAAAAGAACACACUAUAGGAAAUAUGGUUGGAGAAGCAAGCGUCACAUAUGAAACUUCCAACAAUUUGGUGCCAAACAGGAAACUGGAUUUAUGACAGAAACUUUGGGAUUAGUUUUACACCGCCACUGAGGAAUGAGAGGGCCAAGAGGCUCCCAAGAGAGAUGAACUAGCCAGCAGUAGUAUCGCAGUUUCUUCUAGAAGGCUUGUGGUCCUUUCAGAUGGCACUCAGGCCACUCAAAGUGCAGCCCUAGAAACUUCUAUUUCUCCCCCUACCUUGGUUCAAGGGUCGUUGGCUACUCAAGGAAACCUGAGAUCACUGCUGCUAUCUGGUGACUUUUUCCUUGGAGAUGACUUCAAAAAUACCUGUUGUCGAGGACUAAAAGUGCUGCAAAGGAUGGUUGAAGCAUAGUAGAAGUGUGGAAAUUUCAGUUUGUAAAAACUAGUUUUGACCAAAGUUGACCUGAGUUGACUAUGCUAGUUUUUUGGGUUUCUUUGGUAUUUUUUGUUUUUUUGUCUUCUCGUAAAUUUUUGUCUUUGUUUAGCUUUGGUAGGCUACUUUA